rnacentral:rRNA from 1 species
CGAGGGUGCAAGCGUUAAUCGGAAUUACUGGGCGUAAAGCGAGUGUAGGCGGCUGCGUAAGUCGGAUGUGAAAGCCCUGGGCUCAACCUGGGAAUGGCAUUCGAAACUGCGCAGCUAGAGUCUGAUAGAGGGAAGUGGAAUUCCAGGUGUAGCGGUGAAAUGCGUAGAUAUCUGGAGGAACAUCAGUGGCGAAGGCGGCUUCCUGGAUCAAGACUGACGCUGAGGCUCGAAAGCGUGGGGAGCAAACAGGAUUAGAUACCCGAGUAGUCC